rnacentral:rRNA from 1 species
UCUGGUUGAUCCUGCCAGAGGUUACUGCUAUCGAGGUUCGACUAAGCCAUGCGAGUCGAAUGUAGCAAUACAUGGCGAACUGCUCAGUAACACGUGGACAACCUGCCCUUAGGUUGGGUAUAAACCCGGGAAACUGGGUAUAAUACCCGAUAGGUCUCGAUUGCUGGAAUGCAUCGAGAUUUAAAGCUCCGGCGCCUAAGGAUGGGUCUGCGGCCUAUCAGGUAGUAGUGGGUGUAGCGUACCUACUAGCCUACGACGGGUACGGGUUGUGAGAGCAAGAGCCCGGAGAUGGAUUCUGAGACACGAAUCCAGGCCCUACGGGGUGCAGCAGGCGCGAAAACUUUACAAUGCUGGCAACAGCGAUAAGGGAACCUCGAGUGCCAGGUUACAAAUCUGGCUGUCGAGAUGCCUAAAAAGCAUUUCAUAGCAAGGGCCGGGCAAGACCGGUGCCAGCCGCCGCGGUAACACCGGCGGCUCGAGUGGUAACCGUUAUUAUUGGGUCUAAAGGGUCUGUAGCCGGCCGGAUAAGUCUCUUGAGAAAUCUGGCAGCUUAACUGUCAGGCUUUCAGGAGAUACUGUCUGGCUCGAGGCCGGGAGAGGUGAGAGGUACUUCAGGGGUAGGGGUGAAAUCUUGUAAUCCUUGAAGGACCACCAGUGGCGAAGGCGUCUCACCAGAACGGACCUGACGGCAAGGGACGAAAGCUAGGGGCACGAACCGGAUUAGAUACCCGGGUAGUCCUAGCCGUAAACGAUACUCGCUAGGUGUCGGCCACGGUGCGACCGUUGUCGGUGCCGUAGGGAAGCCGUGAAGCGAGCCACCUGGGAAGUACGGCCGCAAGGCUGAAACUUAAAGGAAUUGGCGGGGGAGCACCACAACGGGUGGAGCUUGCGGUUUAAUUGGAUUCAACGCCGGAAAUCUUACCGGGACCGACAGCAAUAUGAAGGCCAGGCUGAAGACUUUGCCGGAUUAGCUGAGAGGUGGUGCAUGGCCGUCGUCAGUUCGUACUGUGAAGCAUCCUGUUAAGUCAGGCAACGAGCGAGA